GAGGUUGUGGCUCAGCGGUAGAGCGCUUGCCUAGCACGUGUGAGGCCCUGGGUUCAAUCCUCAGCACCACA
rnacentral:tRNA from 1 species